rnacentral:rRNA from 1 species
AACGUAGGUCCCGAGCGUUAUCCGGAUUUACUGGGCGUAAAGCGUGCGCAGGCGGUUUUGUAAGCCAGAUGUGAAAUCCCCGGGCUUAACCUGGGAAUGGCAUUUGGGACUGCAAGGCUCGAGUGCGGCAGAGGAGACUGGAAUUCCUGGUGUAGCAGUGAAAUGCGUAGAUAUCAGGAGGAAUACCGAUGGCGAAGGCAGGUCUCUGGGCUGACACUGACGCUCAUGCACGAAAGCGUGGGGAGCAAACAGG